AACACCUUGGAUGCCGCAUCAGACAUCAGUCUACUCCCGCAAUUCAACACAUACGCGUGUGCGAUAUUCUAUUGGAUUUUUCCUAACAUUUCAAGUUCGAUACUACAAUAAUGGCAGACUCAAGUCGCAUCGUGUUCCCUGAUGAGGCUGAGGAGAUCAAGGCUAAAGCCGCUGAAGACAAGACAUCGGGUGGUGACACCAACGACGUUGAAGCACCGCGACCCGAGGUCACAAUGAGGAACGUCGUGGUAGUCCCGCCAAACUGUCCCCCAGGGCAUGAAAUGGGCCCAGACGGCGUGUGCCGCGAAAUUUGGAAAGAAUAAACUCUGAACGCUUUCAGCCGCAAUAACUAAACGUAACGUUCUAUUUUUGACGUUUCAUUGCUUCUGUCAGUGUCGCACAACUGUCAAAUUCUAUGUGUAAGAUAGAGAUGGGACUAAUGAUAUGUUAAGCUUGCAUCGAGAAACGUUUAGUUAUUCUGGUAUUGAUAGAAUAUGAGAUCUUAAACAGUUACUUGUGUUUACCUAUAUAGUGUGUAAGUUAAAAUAAAGUAUUAAUUAAUUUGUAGUUCGCUAAUUAUUGCAGUGUUAUCACAAUUUUUGGCAAAUGCUAGGAAUAUUUGUACUGUAUCUAACA